UGAUGCUCAAGGUCUCUAGAGAAGGCAAAGGUGUGGUCUGGAAGAUGAGACUGCUGAGUUUUCUUCUGUGCUUGGUGACAACUCCCCAAGGUGUCCUGUCCCAGGUGCAGCUGCAGGAAUCAGGGCCUGACUUGGUGAAACCUUCGCACACCCUGUCCCUCACCUGCACCGUGUCUGGAUUCUCUAUUACAACCAGUGGUUACUGCUGGCACUGGGUCCGCCAGGCCUCAGGGAAGGGCCUGGAGUGGGUGGGAGCCAUAUGUGCUUCUGGCAGCACUUACUACAGCCUGUCCCUAAAGAGCAGAGUGACCAUCACCAAAGACACAUCCAAGAACCAGUUCUCUGUACAAAUGAACUCUGUGGUCUCUGAAGACACAGCCGUGUAUCACUGUGCAAGAGACACAGUGAGGGAAUGUUAG